GAUGAAGAACGCAGCGAAAUGCGAUAAGUAAUGUGAAUUGCAGAAUUCAGUGAAUCAUCGAAUCUUUGAACGCACAUUGCGCCCCUUGGUAUUCCGAGGGGCAUGCCUGUUCGAGCGUCAUUAUAACCCCUCAAGCUCAGCUUGGUGUUGGGGCCUGCUGCACUGGCAGCCCUUAAAAUCAGUGGCGGCGCCAUCUGGCUCUAAGCGUAGUAAUUCUUCUCGCUAUGGAGUCCUGGUGGAUGCUUGCCAUCAACCCCCAAUUUUUCUAUGGUUGACCUCGGAUCAGGUAGGGAUACCCGCUGAACUUAAGCAUAUCAAUUAGGGAGGA
rnacentral:misc_RNA from 1 species